GAUGAACGCUGGCGGCGUGCCUAAUACAUGCAAGUCGAGCGAACAGAUGAGGCGCUUGCUCCUCUGACGUUAGCGGCGGACGGGUGAGUAACACGUGGAUAACCUACCUAUAAGACUGGGAUAACUUCGGGAAACCGGCGCUAAUACCGGAUAAUAUAUUGAACCGCAUGGUUCAAUAGUGAAAGACGGUUUUGCUGUCACUUAUAGCUGGAUCCGCGCCGCAUUAGCUAGUUGGUAAGGUAACGGCUUACCAAGGCAACGAUGCGUAGCCGACCUGAGAGGGUGAUCGGCCACACUGGAACUGAGACACGGUCCAGACUCCUACGGGAGGCAGCAGUAGGGAAUCUUCCGCAAUGGGCGAAAGCCUGACGGAGCAACGCCGCGUGAGUGAUGAAGGUCUUCGGAUCGUAAAACUCUGUUAUUAGGGAAGAACAAAUGUGUAAGUAACUAUGCACGUCUUGACGGUACCUAAUCAGAAAGCCACGGCUAACUACGUG
rnacentral:rRNA from 1 species